rfam:Dipodomys ordii contig_27115, whole genome shotgun sequence.
GGUGGCUCAGUGGUAGAGUACUUGCCUUGCAUGCAUGAGGCCCUGGGUUCAAUUCCUCAGUACCA